GCAGAAAGCAAAGUGAUGGGUCUCCACACAAUCCUGGUUAUUAUUCUCUAUCCAGACACCAGAGCAGACAUGGCUUAACUUAAGCCUGGUAGUAGAACUGGUAUUGAAGUGCCUUUGCAUUCAUCCAAGAAAUAUUUUGAAUGAACCAGUGAUACUACAAGGUGAUGAAGAUACAAAGAUGAUCAAAGUGCACAUGGUCCCUGUCUUGAUGGAGCUCACAUUUUCAUGAUAGAGAACAAAAAUUAAAGAGGAAUCACA
rnacentral:lncRNA from 1 species